rnacentral:rRNA from 1 species
UACGGAGGGUGCAAGCGUUGUCCGGAAUCACUGGGCGUAAAGGGCGCGUAGGCGGCUCAUGAAGGCUGUGGUGAAAGUCCGGGGCUCAACCUCGGAUCGGCCGUGGCGACUCGUGGGCUGGAGCACUGUAGAGGCGGGUGGAAUUCCGGGUGUAGCGGUGGAAUGCGUAGAUAUCAGGAGGAACACCGGUGGCGAAGGCGGGUCUCUGGGCCGUUACUGACGCUGAGGAGCGAAAGCGUGGGGAGCGAACAGG